rnacentral:rRNA from 1 species
UACGGGGGGGGCAAGCGUUGUUCGGAAUUACUGGGCGUAAAGGGCUCGUAGGUGGCCAACUAAGUCAGGCGUGAAAUCCCUCGGCUUAACCGGGGAACUGCGUCUGAUACUGGAUGGCUUGAGUGUGGGAGAGGGAUGCGGAAUUCCAGGUGUAGCGGUGAAAUGCGUAGAUAUCUGGAGGAACACCGGUGGCGAAGGCGGCAUCCUGGACCACGACUGACGCUGAGUGAGCGAAAGCCAGGGGAGCAAACGGG